AAACUACACAUUACAUUCAGGACCACUUUGUCAAUAAAUAGAUUAAUUCAUCUGCAAUUUGUAUUUGGCGGUAUGGCUCUGUUCUGGGGCCACCCUGCACUUCCACGUGCAUACAUGGAAAGCAUGAGGCAGGGAGAGCACA